ensembl:misc_RNA Gm23094 predicted gene, 23094
GCAUGUAAGGGGGGAUAGCAUGUUUGUCAUCGCUCACUCUUGGUCACCACAAUAUUCAGCUUACCUGUCUGUGUAGGCUUCUCUUUCUUCAUUGCUGCACAUGCAGCUCCCCCAAACCGGAAGAGAAUGGCCUUCCCCAAUAGAGGAGAGUCUUUUCCAGGGUGUAAAUGUGUGUGUGUGUCUGUGUGUAUGUGCAGCUGCAUUCUCCUGCUGGAAAGUCUUGUCAGGCUUUCAGGAGGGGAGACUGCAGGGCAGUCAAGCUUCUAAAACUGUGGGCCCAUCCAAAUAAGAUGCUUCAUGUGGUGGUGGUCAGCCCUUGUUU